CAGGGCCUACCAAAUGUGGGUGCAAAUGCUGGUGCUGGCAAUUUGGAUUUUCUUCGAAAUAGUCAACAGUUCCAAGCAUUGCGAGCUAUGGUGCAAGCAAACCCUCAAAUUCAGCAGCCUAUGCUUCAAGAGCUAGGGAAACAAAAUCCACAUCUUGUGCAUCUCAUACAAGAGCCUCAGGCUGACUUUUUGCGCCUGAUAAAUGAACCUGUCAAGGGAGGAGAAGGGCUAUGACUGUAACUCCUGAGGAGCGGGCAGCCAUUGAACGUGUAUGUUUCUAAUCUUUAUUUAACCUCUGUGUAGUCCCUCUCUUGUUUGUGAUUUUAUCCAAGAGCCAAGAUGGCUACUCAAGAACAUUUAUUGCAUUUUUUUUAUUC